CCUCGCCUGUUUAUCAAAAACAUCUCCCCCUGUUUUUAUAGGGGGUAUCGCCUGCUCAAUGCAUUAGUAAAUAGCCGCAGUAUUCUGACUGUGCUAAGGUAGCAUAAUCAUUAGUCUCUUAAUUAGAGGCUGGUAUGAAUGGUGAGACGAGAAAAAAGCUGUCUCUAAAAUAUUUGUUGAAUUUCAUUUUUAAGUGAAAAAGCUUAAAUGCGUUUGGGGGACGAUCAGACCCUUUGGAGCUUUAUUUCAUUAAAGUUUUAGGUUACUUUUUAUAACAAAAAUUAUGAUGAAAUUUUGUUGGGGCGACAGAAAGUUAAAAAGUACCACUUUCUUUAAAAAACAUGUAUAGAUGGAAAAUUGAUCCCUAAGGAGGGAUUAGAAGUCUAAGUUACCACCGGACCUCGCCUGUAAUUCAAAAACAUAUACGUGAUCUGAGUUCAGACCGGACCUCGCCUGUUUAUCAAAAACAUAUACGUGAUC
rnacentral:rRNA from 1 species